UUUGCCAGGGCCAAUCUGAUGAACAUGUGGCAGAAGAUUUGGCAAUGGGUGAAGAAACACUGAGAUUGAAAUGCAACCACAGGUGGAGGCUUCACCCAAGCUUUUCAGACGGAUGCGAGAUACAAAGUUACGCAAGUAUAAAUGGUUGAAGGUUUUGGAAAGCCAGACAAGAAGGCAGGAAAUGUGAUGUCACUUUUACUUCAAUAAACAUGAACAGCAGCAGGAGCAACAACAGCAUCAGCAGCCGAAACCUCAACUGCAAUAAGAGAUGCAGCAACCGCACCGACAACAUCAA